UUCCCACAACCUCUCAAGGCAGGCAGUAAGAGGCUCCUUCAUUACUUGUUUAAAGUAUUUUCCCUAAUUUCAGCAUUCCCACUGCUGAAUAAUCUCUGAUCUUCAUAGUCUCUGCAUUGACCCAUUUUUAAGAGCACUAUGUAGCUCUGACUGUCCUGGAACUCACUCUGUUGACCAGGCUGGCCUCCAACUCACAGAGGGCUGCCUGUCCCUGCCUCCAGAGUGCUGGGAUUAAAGGUGCUGCCCCUAUGCCUGCCUGCUUUUCCCUUGCUAGCAAAUUGUUGAAGCUGUGGUGAUCUUCUGUAACCUGUAUUUCUCUCUCUUCCUCUGAAUCCUACUAUAGCUUCCAGGUUUUAGUUUUGGGGAGGACUCAUUAAUACUGAUCCAACUUGGGUUCUUUUACCUUUCCCCUGUCUCUCUCCCCACUACCAACAUCUCAUCCUCUCAUUUAUCAAUAUUUUCCAAAAUUCAGAGACUAACUUGAUGGACGUCCCACAUGUAAUUUUUCUAUUAUAAUUCCUAUCUUGGGGAAGCCAUGUUGGCCUCAGAUAUAUUUCUUACAACAUGUAUCAGAAGUUAGGAUGCCUCUGUACUCUACUGCCAUGACAUUCAUUCCUAUCAAGGUACUACUCUUAAGGACUGUAAUAUCUGCCCUAGACUUUAGAGGUUGAAAAAAAGAACCUAAGAGCCAAGCUGGAGGAAAGAGUUUUGUAGUGUACUAUCCUCUGACUAAAACAGACUCUACCCUCCUCUGAUCAGCUGUGCCACUUGCAAGCAUCAACUGUGAUUGAACCUAUGGGCUAAAUAGAAUGAAGGGGUGGGGAGGGUCGCUGGAUCCUUACCUCAGUAUCCAACAAUUCCUUUUAGUCAUUUGUAUGCAAGUCUCUUCUUAUUUAAUGUAACUUGUGGGUCUGUAGGGGGUGCUAGAGUACACAGGCUGGUAAAGACUAGGGCAAGGAAGCCCCAUCUAUGUGACAAAGGGGAACCGAUCAUCUAUGGUGAAUCCAGACCUUUCCAGUAUGGCUGAUUUAGGGGCACUCAUGCUCCUGCCUGCACUGAACCCCUAACCCAUGCUCUGUAAAUAAGCCGAAAAGAUUCACUGACUCACCAGAGCAAACUAUAGUGGGAUGAUACUUUGGUUUGCUAUCAGGACCUUAGAAGGGCACAGGUCUUGUUUAUAUCUUCCCUGUAAUUCUCACAAAAAAGGCUUUAACAUCCAGAGCCUCCUGAGGUAGAUGGGUAAAGUACUCUGUUCAAGUAUGCCCAUAUUUAGUAUAAGCCUAACCAUAAUAAUAGAUUGUUUAGAUUCUCUCUAUUUGGGGUAGUUUCACCUAAGAUAGCCUCAGCUUUUGUUCUUUUCAGGGCCCAGUACAUCUCAGUUCUGCAGACCUGCUACAGAGACCACAGAAUAGGUAUUCAUUUAACUUUGAUUAAUUGGGCAGAACUCAAUGGUUGUCAUGUCUGGAACCAUGUCUGAGGUUCCCCCAGUGCCAGCACCAAGGAUAGAAUGAACUUAUCCGGAAAACCCUCAGCUCUCUCUCAGCAUCUUCCCAUAAGUUUAUUUCCUCCACAAAUCCCUGUCUAUUCUCUUUAGAACUCCAGAGUCUACUGAGAUGGUACAAGUGUGAAGGAACUAGUCAGCAAGACAGUGCUUGGAGAGUCAGAGUGAAAAGAGGAACUGGUUUGCAGGGUCCAUUGUAGUUUUCGAGAAGUUGGAGGGAAUUUUUGGCAAGUCUCACUUUUAUUUUAAAAUUAUCCAACAUUUUAUAGUCUAGUGAUUUGCAUUUGUACAAUGUAAACAUCUUUGUAAUGUAUACAUACAAUUUAUGUGUCUAUUUAUAUACAUGUGUUUUAUGUAUCUGUUAUAGUUAUUUUAUUAGAUAUAACAUAUGAAGCAAUAUCUGUUCUAUGUAUGAGUUAUUCAUAUUUGACACUCUGUUCUAGUGCCUUCUUUACCUUCUGUAACACUAUAGUUGUAAUGAAUAGCCACAAGGCUAACUACAGAUGUUUGUCAGCAUAGACUAGAGCCAAUGCAUCAGAAUAUAUUCUCCUGCUCUCUGUCCUGUCUUUGCACUUUUUUAAACAUGGUUUUAAAAGUACAGAUAUACUAUAUUUUGAUGGAAUGAAUAUAUUCAUAAUUAUUCAUUAAUUGAUUAUGAUUUUAUCCUGGUUAAGAAACUGUUUCUAUGGAGCAAGACUUGUGUACCUACAAAGUUCAUUUGUUAAAGCCUUAAAUGCUAAUUGGACCAUUUGUGAAUGGGGCCUCUAUAAAAGUAAUUAAGGUUAAAUGAGAUUAUAAAUAUAGGGUUGAUCCUAUUAUAGUAGUGUGUUUUAUAAGAAGUGUCACUAAAGAGAUCGUUAUACAUGUGUACUGAAAAAGGCCAUUGGACUACUUAAUAAAAACCAAAUGAUCACU
rnacentral:lncRNA from 1 species